rnacentral:misc_RNA from 1 species
UCCGGCUUGUCACCGGCAGUUCCUCCAGAGUGCCCACCAUGACGUGCUGGCAACUGAAAGUGAGGGUUGCGCUCGUUGCGGGACUUAACCCAACAUCUCACGACACGAGCUGACGACGCUCCGAAGAGGGGCCGUGUUUCCACGGCUUACGCCGACAUGUCAAGCCCAGGUAAGGUUCUUCGCGUUGCGUCGAAUUAAACCACAUGCUCCGCUGCUUGUGCGGGCCCCCGUCAAUUCCUUUGAGUUUUAGCCUUGCGGCCGUACUCCCCAGGCGGGGCGCUUAAUGCGUUAGCUGCGGCACAGAGAACCGGAGAGGUCCCCCACACCUAGCGCCCAACGUUUACAGCGUGGACUAC